CUUUGAAAUCACGAUCGGCAGGGUAUCCAUGAAGCUUCCAACAAUCCGAUCUUUUAUGACCCGUCUUUCCACAGUAGUCGCAAAGAACCCUAGGUCCUCUCCCUUGCCGCCCGUCUCCUGCAUAAAGACUCCAGUUGUUCACUUCUUCCUCCUUGUGUCAUCGACCAGCGCAACUCCUCAUCGGCAACUUGCGCAAAGGCUCUGUUCAGUGUAGGCAGAGGAUCCAUAUUCAGGAUUUGCGAUCUUACCGUUGCAAAAAUUUCGGAGUCCAGACCCAUCAGAAACUGAUGAAGUUUCUCGACUUCCUUAUUCCUAGCCAUCUGGUCUACGGCUCCACAGGUGCAGGCACCGCAAGUACACUCUGCUGUCUCGAGGUUGCAUAUACCUGUUUUAAUCUGCUGAACCUUGGGAGCGUUACCUCGUGCGAAUUGUUGCUUGAUUUCAUCCCACAUCAUCUUGGCAUCAUUGGCAUGCACAACUGCUCCUUGCAAACUCUUAUCGAGCGAAUUGAAAAUCCAUGAACAAAUCAUCGAGUUGUUGAUCUUCCACAACUGGAACUCUAGCCUCAUCGGGUUGGGUUGCUUCAAAGAUCCAUCAAUAAAUCCGGUCUUGUUCUUAGCCUCGAGUGCUCUAAUCGUGGCCUUCGCCCAGGUCUGAUAGUUCUGUCCAUUGAGAACCACAGGGACGAGAGCUGUGCCCGGGUUAUCUGAGUGACUCACAAAAUAGGGUGAAGUCACGUCCAUGGCUUCUUAUCUGCCAUGGCUCUAUUCUCUUGUCUCUCCUUCUUCAAGGCUCUGAUGCCAUAUUAAGUUCAACAAUAGGCCGAACUAGGAUAGAGGAACAACUAGUAAAGAACACAAUCUGUGUAUUAUUCCUCACACUUUCUGUUCAAGUCCAUACGCAUAUAUAUACAUUCUUCCUUUUCGUGUA